AAGGAAGUGCCAAAAGUCCUUGUCUGACCAGCAGAGCUCUGUUCCAGAAGAAGAAGAUGCUUGAGCGUCUUACCUUUGUCAGGAACAGAAACACUGCAGAGGAAGCCCAAAUCCUUUCCUCAAAGAAUUUCUUACAGGUGAGUUGCAGAACCACGGAAGAGAAUCUCUCUAACUGGACUCACCAAGACCUGGAAAUAAAAAUUGACUCUGUGGAGGCUGGUUGCAAUUACAAAGUCAACAAUUAGCAACUCAAGUAAAAUGUCAGAACAAAUCAGUUUGGUAUAUUUUAAAUACGUUUUCUGAACAAACACAGCCUCUUUGCUCAGAUGUAACGGACUCUUCUUUUAUUUAUCGAAAACAUUUCAAUGUUCAAUGCUCUUCAGCCAGAGAGGCUCCUUGAACAGCUUAUGGAUCAAUAAAAAGAGAUAGUGCUCAUUCCUAGGCAUGCAAAAUAAAAAAAUCAAAGGGAAGAGAUUAAAAAAAAGACAACUCUGGUGCCAAUUUGCAAUACUUUAUGGAUCAUUGAGUGCAGACACAAUGAGGUAAGGGUUGCCUGGUGGCUGGAAAUCAUCUUCCCACAGCUGGAAGUGAUUCAGAGCAGCCAAACUAAGUGGCUUCCCUGUUGAGUCAAUGGAACCACCGAUGGCUUCUCUGCCUGAGCCUGGCAGCUCCCUGGAGCUCCCUUGCAGCUGGAAAUGGGUCUCUCACAAGCUUCACUUCGUCUUCUGAUUGGCUAAUCAACGGAGGAAGUCAUAGAAUGCAGCACCAUGGGAGACAGAGCAGAAACGCAGGUCAAAAUAGGCAAGAAAAUGGGCUCUCAAAAGCCUCUUGAGGACAUGCGGCUUGAACUUUCCUUUUCUGCUGGAUGAGUGCAUUGUCCUAAAAUGCGUCUAUUGAAAGGAGCCACUCAGGAAGUGAUUCUACUGAGCUACGUUCUUCCCCUCGCCCAUCGCUGCAUUAACAUAUUUGUCAUUUUGGUUUAAGAGGAAAAUGCAAAUGGGGGCCACUCUGGGCUCAGUGAUUAAGGGGGGGAGGGGAGUUUUCUGCUUAAAGCAUAAUUUUUAGAACCAAUUAACAGACGGGGGAAAUUAAGCCGACAAGCUUUCUUCUGCUUGGUGACAUUGACCGGGUGGCAUUUCAAGACAGAGGAAACCGUCAUUUAUCAGGACCUGAUAAGGAAGCAAGUCGUGGCACCUGCUGUGUGGAAUGAGGUCCCCCCUGCAAUCUAUGGGGCUCCUGCCCCUAAGGCUGUUCCCAGGAGCCUUCAGGAGCUGCCUCUUCUCCUGCUUGCAGCCCCUUUCGAUCCGUUUUGCAAUGUGUUAUUAGCUGGAUCCACCAUCAUUUCUCUUUUAUCAUUCCAUUAUAGUUUACUUUCUGUUUUUGCUUACCUUUAUUAUAUACACCUGGAGUUGGUAUGAUGGCUCCUGAAUUGAAUAAAUAAAACCAGAUUAAAUUAAAACACAAGGAUACCCAGCAUAGGCAAGGAAAUCCACCUUGCAGCCCCUGGUAGCAAGAAGUC